rnacentral:rRNA from 1 species
CCUACGGGUGGCAGCAGUGGGGAAUAUUGCACAAUGGGGGAAACCCUGAUGCAGCGACGCCGCGUGAAUGAAGAAGGCUUUCGGUUUGUAAAGCUCUAUCAGCGGGGACGAAAAUGACGGUACUUUGCUAGGAAGCUCCGGCUAAAUACGUGCCAGCAGCCGCGGUAAUACGUAGGGAGCAAGCGUUGUCCGGAUUUACUGGGUGUAAAGGGAGCGUAGGCGGGUGGGAAAGUUGAAUGUGAAACCUCUGGGCUCAACCCCUAGCUGCAUUGGAAACUGUUCUUCUUGAGUGAAGUAGAGGCAAGCGGAAUUCCUAGUGUAGCGGUGAAAUGCGUAGAUAUUAGGAGGAACACCAGUGGCGAAGGCGGCCUGCUGGGCUGUAACUGACGCUGAGGCUCGAAAGCGUGGGUAGCAAACAGGAUUAGAUACCCCUGUAGUC